rnacentral:lncRNA from 10 species
AAAGAAGUAUGUCUUCUAGAAAGUCUGCAAUGGUUACCAAAUGAAAAUUCAGGAGGGCAGGAAUUCUUGACUGUAUUUUACUGCUAUAUCCCUAGUGCUCAGAACAGUUCAUGGCACAUAGUAGGUGUUCAACAAAUGCUUGUUGAAUAUGUGAGAGACUGAAUAAAUGGAGAAGCAUAGACCACUUCAACCUGGCCCUCUGGUCUUCCUAGGUGAGAAACGGGGUCUUCCUGACUCCACGUUGCUGAAAUGCUUUGACCUCUUCUCUACUAGGUAGAGCACUCCCUCCCUUGACGCUCUCUCUUCAAGUUAGAAAAAAGUUGCAAUAAGCAAAUCCAUUUUAUGGCCAGAAAAAAAAAUCCUUUAUUUCACAAGUUUAAGAAACUACUUUGUCAUAAAGGCUUUCAUGAGUUCACGACUUGAUCUGCCUGCCAUGGGCUCCCACUCUCUCUGAACCAACCUGACACCCCUCUUCUCUUGCUCCCUCAGAUCCAAGCACACUGUCCUCUGACUUACUCCAUAAACUCUGCCUGGAAUUCAUCUCCCAGAUGCCUGCCAGCCUCCCUCAGACAUUUUCUCUCAUUUCUUGCAAGCUUCUGAUCAAAUGUCACUUUCACAGAGAAGCCCUCUGUGACCAGACUAAAUGAAAAACCCAGCUUCACACUUAACUUCUGGCAUUCUUCCUUGUCCUGGCCUGUAUUAUUUUUCAUGGAUACACUUUGUCUGUUUCGUUCACUUCUCUAUCCCCAACUUGCAACAGUGCCUACUACACAGUUAGUGCUCAAUAAAUAUUUCUUGAGCGCAUAAACAAACAAGGACACAGUCAUAUUUCAUGUGCCACUUCAGGGAGGCAAUAUGAGAGAUGAAAAAGGUGUAGCCUUUUGAAUCCCAUUUCUAACUAUUCACUAUGUGCCUGACCUGGAGACCACCUCCCUAAAUGUCAGAAUUUUCAUAUCAAGUGGGAAUAAUAACACUUAUCUGGCAUGUACUUGGCAGCCACCAAAGGCUGGUUCCACUCCUUCCUUUCUCCCUGGCUCCUUUUUUGUGGCUAUGAGCUAAUGUAACACUUUUGUUAGGAAAUAAAAUGCCUGCAAGUUCUGAGGUGGCUGUGUAAUGCAUGUGCUGAGCAAGACGAGAAUGUUGAGAAGGCCCUAGAGCAGUAUCAUUCAUAAUGACAACUAACGUUGAUUGUACUUCUGUUUGGCAAUGGCAACGGACAAGGCAUGAAAAGGACAAUGUUCUUUCCUAAAGGUGCCAACAUCUUACUGGGAACAGAGGCUUCUAGAACUGGCCUUGAAGCAUGACUAAGUUUCAGAAUAGUGGUAAUUCUGAGAAGCAUUUCAGAGAGGAAACUAAACCAAUUGGGAGGGUGACUAUAGCAGGGCCGUCCUUUGGAAACAUGUAAGAAGAAGAGUGGACAGGAAAGGUGAUGUCAGAUUAUGGAAGACACCGCAUGCCAGGCUGGAGGCUACGUCUAAUCAUGUAACUUAUGAAGCACCACUAAUAUUUUUGAAUACUGGAAAAACACACAUCAUAUAAUGAAAAUGAGAAAUUUUAAGAGACUUCUCAAAGCCAAGCACUAAGCAGUACUAAUGAUUCCAGUGAUAUUUGUUCAGAAAAAUAAAUGAUAAGCUUAUAAACUGGAAUGAAUCAAUAUUCUAAUUCUAAUCUUCCCAGGUCAUCACUAUUUGAACUACCGUGGAGGAAGAGAGACGUGCUAGAAGAGACUUGGAGAACUGCAACUCAUAAGAAGGUUCCUGUGGACAGCGAUGGACACUCUAACCACCCACAGUCCUAGCCCAUUGGAGGAUGUUUUAGCACUUCUUUCUCCACAUAUGAUCACAGUGAAAUUGGAGGAACCAAAUUUUACCCUCAGAAGGCCUCAUUCCUACUUCCCCAAAGUAAAUUAGCUAUUUGAAUUUUCAUCCUUUCUACAUAAAAACUGUGCUGUAUCUCCACCUACUUUUUCUUCACUUCCUCCUCCCUUUAAGAAAAAAGACUGUUUUCCUUGACUGGACUUACUCCUGGGCUGAUCACCUCCACCUGCAUCCUCCAGAACUUGCUUAAUCAUCUGUAAGUUCUUCAUUUCCACUGAAUCCUUCUCUUCUGCCUACAUAUAGGCUCAGUUCUCCAUAAAAAUACCAUUAACAACAACUGAAGAGAAUUUUGAUCAAUCCCAACACCCCUUUCAAGGUAUCUUGAAUGUUCCUUUGUUCCCUUCUUCUAUAAUGACAUAAGAGCGCCACCUGCCCUCACUUCCCCACCAAGACCACAUUCUAGUGACCUCUGUCAUCGGGAUACUUACUAUCACACUGAACUAUACUUUUUGAACCCUCUGUAUUAUUUGGUACUGUUAACCAUUCCCUCCUCCAUGAAAGUCUCUUAUCUUCAGGCUCUGUCCAAGUUCAUCUCCUAGCUCUCUGUUUUACACAUACCCUUUCUGCAGGAUUUUCUUCUCCUGAGCCUUCAGCAUUCCUUAAGCAUCUGUCUUUGGUCUUUCACUUCACUUGCUUCUUACAUUAGCCACUAGCCGCAUGUGAUCAUUAAAUUUAAAUAAACUGAAAUUAGCCAGUCACUAAAGGCCAAAUAUUGUGAUUCUAUUUAUAAGAAAUGUCUAAAAUAGGCAAAUCCAUCAAGACAGAAAAAAACACUAGUGGCUGCAUAAAGCAGUGGAAGCUGGGGGAAGAUGGGGAGUGAUUGUUAAUGAAUACUGGGUUUCUUGUCAGGGUAAUGAAAAUGUUCCAAAAUUGACUGAUGGUUGCACAACUCUGAAUACACUAAAAAUCACUGAAUUGUGCACUAUAAAUGGGUGAAUUAUAUGGUACAUGAAUUACAUUCCAAUAAACCUGUUAUUAACAAUUAACAAUUCAGA